rnacentral:lncRNA from 1 species
CCGGGCUCGCUGGCGCAGUCGUCGUUGUCCUCGCAGGAGCUGCCGUCGGCGCCCAGCCUCCUCCCAGGGCACCAGGGGGUCCCACUCCUGGGAUAUCAUCUCCCUUUCCCUGUGGGCACCUCCAGCUGUCCCAUUUCCUGUGUUAUCUCUGGGGGAUCUGCCUCUGCUGCCAGGACACAGCCAGGAGCAAAGUAAAAAUGAAAACCAAACAUCCAAAGCUUCUCCACCCCAAAGAAAAGGCUUCAGCUCUGCCACACGCUUGGAAAAUCAGUGUCCAUGGGAUUUAAUUCCAGAGGCAGGGAUGCAGCCCAACGAGAAAGGCCCGAGGGACAG